rnacentral:rRNA from 1 species
AUUUAACGCUGGCGGCAUGCUUUACACAUGCAAGUCGAACGGUAACAGGCCGCAAGGUGCUGACGAGUGGCGAACGGGUGAGUAAUGCAUCGGAACGUGCCCAGUCGUGGGGGAUAACUACUCGAAAGAGUAGCUAAUACCGCAUACGAUCUAUGGAUGAAAGCGGGGGACCGUAAGGCCUCGCGCGAUUGGAGCGGCCGAUGUCAGAUUAGGUAGUUGGUGGGGUAAAGGCUCACCAAGCCAACGAUCUGUAGCUGGUCUGAGAGGACGACCAGCCACACUGGGACUGAGACACGGCCCAGACUCCUACGGGAGGCAGCAGUGGGGAAUGUUGGACAAUGGGCGCAAGCCUGAUCCAGCAAUGCCGCGUGCAGGAAGAAGGCCUUCGGGUUGUAAACUGCUUUUGUACGGAACGAAACGGCUCUGGUUAAUACCCGGGGCUAAUGACGGUACCGUAAGAAUAAGCACCGGCUAACUACGUG